UGAUGACUGUUCCUCCUGUUGCCUUCAGACCUGGCAUUAGGAUUUUAGGUCAUCAUAAAUUAAAAUUUGAUUUUCUUCACUCAGAGAGUUAUUAGGAUAAUGGGAUUAUCCAUCUGUUCUCUGAAAUUUGCAGAAUCAAACAUUU
ensembl:snoRNA